rnacentral:lncRNA from 1 species
GCAGGGAAAGGGGGGGCGCACCCUAGGUGGGCCUUGGGCCUCAUCUGCGCCUAGGGUUUCCCCCUCCCCCUUCUCUGGUGCGUAUGGGCUGGGUGGGGGGCGCACCAGCCCACCUAGGGGCUGGUUCCCUUCCCCACUUAGCCCAUCUAGCCUCCCGGGGUCGUUGCCCCCCUUCGGUGGUCCCCCGGGGCCACCUCCGAUGGUCCCGGUGGUCCCGGUACGUUACCGGUGACGCCCGAAACACUUCCGGUGUCCAAAACCAUCCGUCCUAUAU